UACGUAGGCAGCGAGCGUUGUUCGGAAUUACUGGGCGUAAAGAGUGUGUAGGCGGUGCUCUAAGUUCGGUGUGAAAUCUCCUGGCUUAACUGGGAGCUUGCAGGCGAAACUGCCGUGCUGGAGUGUGGGAGAGGCGAGUGGAAUUCCUGGUGUAGCGGUGAAAUGCGCAGAUAUCAGGAGGAACACCAAUUGCGAAGGCAGCUCGCUGGGACGUUACUGACGCUGAGACGCGAAAGCGUGGAGAGCAAACAGG
rnacentral:rRNA from 1 species